rnacentral:rRNA from 1 species
AGCGAACGCUGGCGGCAGGCCUAACACAUGCAAGUCGAACGGAUCCUUCGGGAUUAGUGGCGUACGGGUGAGUAACACGUGGGAACGUGCCCUUUGGUUCGGAACAACUCAGGGAAACUUGAGCUAAUACCGGAUGUGCCCUUCGGGGGAAAGAUUUAUCGCCAUUGGAGCGGCCCGCGUCUGAUUAGCUAGUUGGUGAGGUAAAGGCUCACCAAGGCGACAAUCAGUAGCUGGUCUGAGAGGAUGAUCAGCCACAUUGGGACUGAGACACGGCCCAAACUCCUACGGGAGGCAGCAGUGGGGAAUCUUGCGCAAUGGGCGAAAGCCUGACGCAGCCAUGCCGCGUGAAUGAUGAAGGUCUUAGGAUUGUAAAGCUCUUUCAGUAGGGAAGAUAAUGACGGUACCUACAGAAGAAGCCCCGGCUAACUUCGUGCCAGCCGCCGCAGUAA